rnacentral:rRNA from 1 species
GACGAACGCUGGCGGCGUGCUUAACACAUGCAAGUCGAACGGAAAGGCCCUGCUUUUGUGGGGUGCUCGAGUGGCGAACGGGUGAGUAACACGUGUGUAACCUGCCCUUGACUUUGGGAUAACUUCAGGAAACUGGGGCUAAUACCGGAUAGGAGCUCCUGCUGCAUGGUGGGGGUUGGAAAGUUUCGGCGGUUGGGGAUGGACUCGCGGCUUAUCCGCUUGUUGGUGGGGUAGUGGCUUACCAAGGCUUUGACGGGUAGCCGGCCUGAGAGGGUGACCGGCCACAUGGGGACUGAGAGACGGCGCAGACGGCUACGGGAGGCAGCGGUGGGGAGUAUUGCGCAAUGGGCGGAAGCCAGAUGCAGCAACGCCGCGUGCGGGAUGACGGCCUUCGGGUUGUAAACCGCUUUCGCCUGUGACGAGGCGUGAGUGACGGUAAUGGGUAAAGAAGCACCGGCUAACUACGUG